AUUGAACGCUGGCGGCAGGCCUAACACAUGCAAGUCGAACGAGUGGCGGACGGGUGAGUAAUGUCUGGGAAUCUAGCUUAUGGAGGGGGAUAACUACGGGAAACUGUAGCUAAUACCGCAUACCAUAGGAUGUGCCCAAGUGGGAUUAGGUGGUUGGUGGGGUAAAGGCUCACCAAGCCGACGAUCCCUAGCUGGUCUGAGAGGAUGACCAGCCACACUGGGACUGAGACACGGCCCAGACUCCUACGGGAGGCAGCAGUGGGGAAUAUUGCGCAAUGGGGGCAACCUGACGCAGCCAUGCCGCGUGAAUGAAGAAGGCCUUCGGGUUGUAAAGUUCUUUCGGUAGCGAGGCGUUAACUACAGAAGAAGCACCGGCUAACUCCGUGCCAGCAGCCGCGGUAAUUC
rnacentral:rRNA from 1 species